rnacentral:misc_RNA from 1 species
CUUAUAUUUUCUUUUUUGGCUGAAGUCGUCCCACUCAUUUCAUUCUCUGCAAUUAUUGUGAAGCUAUGGGACAUAUUGAUCUAUCUUUCGUUCAAGACCUUCAACAUAGACCUAAUUUUAAAAGCGUAGAAAUUGAAGAAAUCCCAGUUAUUGAUCUCUCAGUUUCAAACCCUAGUGAAACCCAGCAACUAGUUUCAAAGAUUGGAGAAGCUUGCAAGAAAUAUGGGUUUUUUCAAGUGAUUAAUCAUGGAGUGCCACUGGAGCUGCGUCAAAAGACUGAGAAAGUGGCCAAAGAAUUCUUUCAUCAGUCACUGGAUGAGAAAAGGAAGGUGAAGCGAAACGAGGUGGAUCCUAUGGGGUUCUAUGAUAGUGAACAUACUAAAAAUGUUAGGGAUUGGAAGGAGGUUUUUGACUACUUGGUGUUGGACCCAACUCUGAUCCCUGCCUCAGCUGAUCCUGAUGAUAAAGAGCUAAGGACUUUGACCAAUCAAUGGCCUCAGAACCCUUCUGAAUUCAGGUACUCAUUUCAAAUUUUUCAUGUUAUGGAAUUCAAUUCAACACUGAAACUAAUUGGUUGUAAUGAUCAUGAACAGGGAGAUAUGCCAAGAAUACACCAAGCAAGUUGAAAAACUAGCUUUCAAGUUGCUGGAACUUAUUUCUUUGAGCCUAGGCUUGCCUGCUGAUAGGUUGAAUGGCUACUUCAAGGACCAAAUCAGCUUUGCUAGGUUCAAUCACUAUCCUCCAUGUCCUGCUCCACAUCUAGCUCUUGGUGUGGGUCGACACAAAGAUGGUGGUGCCCUAACGGUACUUGCUCAAGAUGAUGUUGGAGGACUGGAAAUUUCCCUUAGAUCAGACGGUGAGUGGAUUCCAGUCAAGCCAAUACCAGAUGCCUUCAUCAUCAACAUCGGCAACUGUAUGCAGGUAUUAUCUUGGCUCAUAUUUAGCCAAUAGUCAAUUGAUAAUAUGAAUUUGGCUAUACAUAUUGGUCUUGGGAUCAUGGAUAGAAUAUAGGCAAGAAUUUUUCCAUUUUGUUUAAUAAUCUUGAUUACAGGUAUGGAGCAAUGACCUGUACUGGAGUGCAGAGCAUAGGGUGGUGGUAAACUCAGAGAAGGAAAGGUUUUCUAUGCCAUUUUUCUUUUUCCCUGCCCACUAUGUCCUAAUUAAGCCAUUGGAGGAGCUGGUGAAUGACCAAAACCCUCCCAAAUACAAAGAAUUCAACUGGGGAAAGUUUUUUGCUAGUAGAAA